rnacentral:lncRNA from 10 species
CAGCGAUACAAUUUUGCUUAUAACCUCAGGGAGUUUCUGGGGUCCCUGAAGUACAACCGUGGACCCCAAGCUAAGAAUCUCAAAGGCCUUUCCCAGCGUUGUGAUUCUAAUCUCUUCAGCCUUCCUGGCUGUGUGUGGUGUGUCUGCUGACACCUACACACUAGAUACCUAUCUAUGGGUUAUGACCUUUUCUUCUGGCAUGUACUCCAAAAAUACAAUAACCAUGGCCUUAGUAGUCUGGCUACUGUGGGUGCUUAAGUACUUAUUGUGAUGUUUGUGGUUUUUAAAUCUGAAAGGCUAGUAAAUUGACUGCACAAAUUUUGGAUGACAGAAAACCUAAAUUAAGCAAGGUGUGGUGGCUCAC